rnacentral:rRNA from 1 species
GACGGACGCUGGCGGCGUGCUUAACACAUGCAAGUCGAGCGGUAAGGCCCUUUCGGGGGUACACGAGCGGCGAACGGGUGAGUAACACGUGGGUGACCUGCCCUCAGCUCUGGGAUAAGCCUGGGAAACCGGGUCUAAUACUGGAUAUGACUCCAUGACGCAUGUUGUGGGGUGGAAAGCCUUGUGCGGCUGAGGAUGGGCCCGCGGCCUAUCAGCUUGUUGGUGGGGUGANGGCCUACCAAGGCGACGACGGGUAGCCGGCCUGAGAGGGCGACCGGCCACACUGGGACUGAGACACGGCCCAGACUCCUACGGGAGGCAGCAGUGGGGAAUCUUGCGCAAUGGGCGAAAGCCUGACGCAGCGACGCCGCGUGAGGGAUGACGGCCUGG